UGAGGAAUAUUGCGCAAUGGGCGAAAGCCUGACGCAGCGACGCCGCGUGGAGGAUGAAGGUCUUUGGAUUGUAAACUUCUGUUAAGUGGGAAGAAAAAGUUGCUUCUAAUACAAGCAAAAAAUGACGGUACCACUAAAGAAAGCACCGGCUAACUUCGUGCCAGCAGCCGCGGUAAUACGAAGGGUGCAAGCGUUAUUCGGAUUUAUUGGGUGUAAAGGGUGCGUAGACGGCAUAUUAAGUCCGCUGUUAAAUUUCCCGGCCUAACUGGGAGCCAGCGGUGGAUACUGAUGUGCUAGAGGAUGGAAGAGAGAAGUGGAAUUCCCGGAGUAGCGGUAAAAUGCGUAGAUCUCGGGAGGAACACCAAUGGCGAAGGCAGCUUCUUGGUCCAUAUCUGACGUUGAGGCACGAAAGCGUGGGGAGCAAACAG
rnacentral:rRNA from 1 species